rnacentral:lncRNA from 1 species
UGUCCAUGAGGUAUCUGAGCCUCCUGCCUGGCCCAGAUGCCGUGUGACCUGCUAUGACUCACUGGAUCGAGGACACUGGUGUCAGUAGCAUGAAGCUGAAUUCCAGCGGGCUGAGGGUCCUGGUGACAGGGGCAGGGAAAGGGAAUGGACAGCGUACUGUGAAGGCCCUGCAUGCCUCAGGAGCCAAAGUGGUGGCUUUGACUCGGACCAACGCAGACCUGGUCAGCCUUUCAAAGAGGUAAGGCACAGAGACUGCCAUGGCUGGGGCCUGUUCUCCACCCUC